ACACGGGCGCUGUUGGCUGGAGCUGCCUGGGCCCCACGCGUGUCACCCGGCAGGUGAACACCAGCCAGGGCCUCCCGCCCUUCCUGCGGGCCACAGAGACCAAACCUUCUCCCCCACCCCCCGGGCAACAGGUGGCUCACUCAUGCCCCACCACCCCAGCCUCCUGAGUCCUGGCCGGGACCCCCAGAGAACUCCCUGUACCAGUAUGCACGUGUACACACGUGUGUGUGCUCCGUGUGUGUGUACACACACAUGUGCCUCCGAGGCAACCAAGUGUCCGCGGUGGCUAAUUCAGCUCUCUGGCUCCUGACCUUGGGUUGAGUGACCAGGGCACUUGGAUCCUGGUGGUUUUGUCCCUCGGAGGGAGCAGCUUGAAGCUCUCUGUUCUCCGAGCCAGGCUCAGUUCAGGGCCCACACGGCUGUCCACUCCCAGGACAGGCCAGGAGGCAGGGGAAGGGCCCAUCUGUGGGGCUGGGAGGACACACAGGGCUGCUGGGGAACAAGUCCAGGCCGCCCGAACCAGGACAGAAGGGGCUGUGGGGGAGGGGGCGGGGAGCCCGGACCUGCGCAAUCACUCUGCCUUUCUGGCCUUGGUGUCAGCUGUCCGGGGCCAUGGGGAGCCCUCCAACUCCGUGCCCCAGGGUCACCAGACGGCUGUGCAAGGUGUGUGUGUGCCCCGCCCCCCGCAGGUGGGGGUCCCCUGUGAGCUAGGCAGGGAGAACACCUCGUGUUCUAGAAAGAGACAUCGCGAGGAGGCCACGUCUUUCUUCACUCUUUACUGUGUAAAAAUAAACUCAACAAUUCAUGUCAUUUCAGCAAGAAAAAAAAAAAAAAGCAAGAAGACCAGUAGAAAUAGUGCAUUUCCAGAAUUGCUGAUGGGAGGUGGCAGGUCCCACGGCUUUCACCCAUUUGGUACCCAAAAGGCUGCAGAUCACAUGAAGAAUGCACAGCUUUGGUUAGCAGAUGGAAGGGAGGGACAGUGGACUGUGACAACAUCAGCGGUAGGGGCUCGCAGUUGGUUUUGGCAAAUAAGACAAUGUGGGACUCUAAGUAUUGGGCUGUUUCUCCCUUCCACAAACGCACAUCAGUCCGCGGAGCAGCCUGCGCCAGGACCGGGCCCGCCCCCGGGGCGGCGGUGAGCCCCACGCCAGCCCCGCUCCCCCGCUCUGCCCCCGAGACACCCCCUCGGUCCCAGGUCCCAGGGCUGGUGACAGAGUGAUCUUUGCAGUCUUAGAAAAUAAACCGGGAAUCGACAAAAGGAAGAGAGAAGCA
rnacentral:lncRNA from 1 species